rnacentral:rRNA from 1 species
UACGUAGGGUGCGAGCGUUAAUCGGAAUUACUGGGCGUAAAGUGUGCGCAGGCGGCCGCGCAAGUCGAGUGUGAAAGCCCCGGGCUUAACUUGGGAAUUGCGCUCGAAACUACGUGGCUGGAGUGUGGCAGAGGAAGGUGGAAUUCCAGGUGUAGCGGUGAAAUGCGUAGAUAUCAGGAGGAACACCGAUGGCGAAGGCAGGUCUCUGGGCUGACACUGACGCUCAUGCACGAAAGCGUGGGGAGCAAACAGG